rnacentral:lncRNA from 1 species
GCCCAGCAUCUGUUUCCUUUUGUCAUGGUUCCUGUGGCUUCCUCUGCAUGCACAGGGUUUGUUUGUGAACCAAUUCCUGGAGCAUGCACACUUUGUGAGCAAAGCCUCCUCCAGGCUUCUGGAGAUGGAGUUCCUUGCUUGCCACCUGGAGACCAGUCCUCUGCAUCGUUGUUCCAUGUUGUGUAAGUCCCUAGGAUUGUGGGAGUUCCACAACUUGUAGCUGGGAGCCUGACAUCCUCAUGGAAGCUACCUCAUGGCCCAGCUUCCACAAUUUUUGGACAUGACUGAAGACAUUUAAAACCCAGUAUCUUACAUGUUCUCAAGCUCUGAAUUGUGAGACACAUCUGUUCCUGGCAGCAUCAAUUUACUUCAAAAAAUGAUAAUGGACAUCAAAGAACCUCCAAUUGGAGUUUACUUUCUUUGUGGAAAAAGCUAGUCAUUUGGGCAAGAAACUGCUCUGACUUGACUGCUGACAGUAUGCUGUCCAAAUUGGAUAAGCAGAACACACACACAAAAAGUGACUGCCAAACUUUGCCAAGACAUGAUAGGAUAGUCCCUCAGAAUUCCUACUUCAUAGAAAUGCCAGGUAUUCUAGGCCUGUAGGCCCAAGAUGGAUGCCUCAACAUUGCAGCAGAAGCUUGAGUGACUGUCCAGGCAGCCAGAUAUCUCUGUCAUUUUGGAAGUGGUUUGUAUUGCACUUCUUGUUUACUCAGUUAGUAUUAUGUCCUUCUGGGGUCUUUGAUGGAGUUGAAGACUUGGUGAUUAUAGUUGCCCUUUUCCUCAGUUAUGAUAGAAGGUGAAUUAGGUACAGAGCUUUUGACUCAACAAGAUAGAAUAAUGGAGUAUUUUCUCUGAAUAUGCCAAAUACAAAUAGACUGGACAUUAUGAAUGUGAUUCUUACCUGAUAAUUGGUCUUAUUGUUUAUAAUUUUAUUAUGUUAAGAGUUAAAAUCUUUCCUUUUUAUUUAGACAAAAAGGGGGAAAUGUUGUAGAAUAUUCCUUUCACUGUAUGAAGAUGUGUCACUGUGGUCGGUUUAAUAAAGGGCUGAAUAGCCAUUAGCUAGGCAGGAAGAGGUUUAGCAGGACUUCUAGGGCCAGAGAGCUCUGAGAAGAAGAAAGGAGUUGCAAGCCAGGUACAGGGAGAACAAGACAUGCAGGAGGAGAGGUAAAAUCCACAAAUCACAUGGCCACACAUAGAUGAAUAGAAAUGGGUUAAUUUAAGUUAUAAGAGAUAGUGGGACAGGCCUAAGCUAUAGGGCAAGCUUUCAUAAUUAAUAAGAAGUCUCCAUGUCAUUUUCUGUGAACUGGCAGCUGUAGGGAGACAUUAUAGCCCCACCUCCUAGUAGCCCGGACAGUUGUGCCCGGACACGCCCGUGAGGGCGUGGUGAAGGGAGGUCUAAAGGUGACACGGGGAGGAUUCUUAAGGGACAGUGGACACAUGGAUAGCCCCUUCUCCCUUCUCCUAUCUCUGGUCUGGCUGCCUUGCUGACCCUGGCACGCUCUGGCUUGCGCUUGGCUGGUGUUUAUCUGAAUAAAGAAAUCUUAGCCUUAUGGACUGUGGAUUGAUCUCUUCAGGCAGCCAAAAGAAAAAACUGUCUACAGACUAGCAAUCCAAGACCCCAGAAGUAUACAAUUUUCUUCUUGGGAGCAAGAAGAAAAUUAAGUAUUCAGAUAGAAAAGACUAUGCUCAGUGGUAGAAUGUAAAGUUAUGAGUUCAGUCUGGGGUGUGGGGAUAAUGGAAUAAGCAAUGCUGAGUUUUAGAAGAAUUUUCCAGUCCUUUGAGUAAUAGCAAAAGAAGAAGCCCACAUCUAUUAAGAGUCCUAGUUGUUCUAAUAGGGACAAUGCUGUUACAAGGACCCAUAAUAGGCUCAUUCUUCUCCAUUGGCUCGUAUUAUUUGCAAAGUCCUGAGUUACAGAGGGUAUCUUUAAGAUUUCUUAACAUAAUAUAGCCAUAAUACAGUGAUAUUAAUAAAUAG